AGCAGCCGCGGUAAUUCCAGCUCCAAUAGCGUAUAUUAAAGUUGUUGCAGUUAAAAAGCUCGUAGUUGAAUUUCGGGGUCAGUAGGUUGGUCAUGCCUUCGGUAUGUACUGGUCUCACUGAUUCCUCCCUCUUGAAGAACUGUAAUGUCAUUAAUUUGGUGUUGCGGGGAAACAGGACUGUUACUUUGAAAAAAUUAGAGUGUUUAAAGCAGGCUCACGCUUGAAUACAUUAGCAUGGAAUAAUGAAGUAGGACGUUUGAUCCUAUUUUGUUGGUUUCUAGGAUCGACGUAAUGAUUAAUAGGGAUAGUUGGGGGCAUUAGUAUUCAAUUGUCAGAGGUGAAAUUCUUGGAUUUAUUGAAGACUAACUACUGCGAAAGCAUUUGCCAAGGAUGUUUUCAUUAAUCAAGAACGAAAGUUAGGGGAUCGAAGACGAUCAGAUACCGUCGUAGUCUUAACCAUAAACUAUGCCGACUAGGGAUCGGAUGAUGUUAAUUUUUAAUGACUCAUUCGGCGCCUUAA
rnacentral:rRNA from 1 species